UACGUAGGCAGCAAGCGUUGUUCGGAAUUACUGGGCGUAAAGCGCACGUAGGCGGCUUCUUAAGUCGGUGGUGAAAUCCUGGAGCUCAACUCCAGAACUGCCUUCGAUACUGGGAAGCUCGAGUCCGGGAGAGGUGAGUGGAACUGCGAGUGUAGAGGUGAAAUUCGUAGAUAUUCGCAAGAACACCAGUGGCGAAGGCGGCUCACUGGCCCGGUACUGACACUGAGGCUCGAAAGCGUGGGGAGCAAACAGGG
rnacentral:rRNA from 1 species